rnacentral:rRNA from 1 species
UGACGCUGGCGGCAGGCCUACACAUGCAAGUCGAGCGGAUGAAGGGAGCUUGCUCCUGGAUUCAGCGGCGGACGGGUGAGUAAUGCCUAGGAAUCUGCCUGGUAGUGGGGGAUAACGUCCGGAAACGGGCGCUAAUACCGCAUACGUCCUGAGGGAGAAAGUGGGGGAUCUUCGGACCUCACGCUAUCAGAUGAGCCUAGGUCGGAUUAGCUAGUUGGUGGGGUAAAGGCCUACCAAGGCGACGAUCCGUAACUGGUCUGAGAGGAUGAUCAGUCACACUGGAACUGAGACACGGUCCAGACUCCUACGGGAGGCAGCAGUGGGGAAUAUUGGACAAUGGGCGAAAGCCUGAUCCAGCCAUGCCGCGUGUGUGAAGAAGGUCUUCGGAUUGUAAAGCACUUUAAGUUGGGAGGAAGGGCAGUAAGUUAAUACCUUGCUGUUUUGACGUUACCAACAGAAUAAGCACCGGCUAACUUCGUGCCAGCAGCCGCGGUAAUACGAAGGGUGCAAGCGUUAAUCGGAAUUACUGGGCGUAAAGCGCGCGUAGGUGGUUCAGCAAGUUGGAUGUGAAAUCCCCGGGCUCAACCUGGGAACUGCAUCCAAAACUACUGAGCUAGAGUACGGUAGAGGGUGGUGGAAUUUCCUGUGUAGCGGUGAAAUGCGUANAUAUAGGAAGGAACACCAGUGGCGAAGGCGACCACCUGGACUGAUACUGACACUGAGGUGCGAAAGCGUGGGGAGCAACAGGAUAAAUACCCUGGUAGUCCCNCCNUAAACNAUGUCNACUACCNUUGGGAUCNUGAAACUNNUGGCNCACCUACNCGAUAAUCACCCCUGGGANUANGCCNCAGNUNAACUCAAUGAUUGACGGGNCCNCCANCGNGGAACANUGNUUAUNCAAACACCNAAANCUNCUGGCUNANUGNNAAANUUCNAAAUGAUGUGCUCGNAUNAAAAGNCUCNGGUNCCCNCCNG